CCAUCUUUUUGAAAAACAAAAUUCUUCGAUGAGCUUUUCAGUGAAUCAAUGCUUCUAUUCUCUUCCUCUCAUUCUCUUGAGUUUGUGACAGCGGACUUCAGUACGACACUGCAGUGUGGGGUUCCACGGUUCGGCCUGAUAGGAGGCAGCAUGGUCAACCCUAAGUAUACCCUAGUCAAGAGGUGCGCAGAACCAUUGACAGAGGGGUCUUUUAUGUGAGAAACCCGGGGUCACCACACUGGAAUAUCAGUGGCAGAAGGCAGCAUUGUGAAUUUCAAAGGUUGUAAAACACCUUGGUGGUCCCAUAGCUAGUCGUGGCCACGAUUAGCUUGGGAAUUAUUUGAGGCCAGCUUGUAUUUUGAAUGGUGCUCAAUAUGUUGGAAAAUGUUACUUACUUGUACUAUUUCUAAAAUAUUUUGUUAUCUGUUAAUCUGUUUAAUAUUUGGAACUCCUUUUAUAUGUUAUUAUUAUGGUGGUUGCUAUUAUUUGAA